AGAGUUUGAUCAUGGCUCAGGAUGAACGCUGGCGGCGUGCCUAAUACAUGCAAGUCGAGCGAACAGACGAGGAGCUUGCUCCUCUGACGUUAGCGGCGGACGGGUGAGUAACACGUGGAUAACCUACCUAUAAGACUGGGAUAACUUCGGGAAACCGGAGCUAAUACCGGAUAAUAUAUUGAACCGCAUGGUUCAAUAGUGAAAGACGGUUUUGCUGUCACUUAUAGAUGGAUCCGCGCCGCAUUAGCUAGUUGGUAAGGUAACCGGCUUACCAAGGCAACGAUGCGUAGCCGACCUGAGAGGGUGAUCGGCCACACUGGAACUGAGACACGGUCCAGACUCCUACGGGAGGCAGCAGUAGGGAAUCUUCCGCAAUGGGCGAAAGCCUGACGGAGCAACGCCGCGUGAGUGAUGAAGGUCUUCGGAUCGUAAAACUCCGUUAUUAGGGAAGAACAAAUAUGUAAGUAACUAUGCACGUCUUGACGGUACCUAAUCAGAAAGCCACGGCUAACUACGUGCCAGCAGCCGCGGUAAUACGUAGGUGGCAAGCGUUAUCCGGAAUUAUUGGGACGAUAAAGCGCGCGUAGGCGGUUUUUUAAGUCUGAUGUGAAAGCCCACGGCUCAACCGUGGAGGGUCAUUGGAAACUGGAAAACUUGAGUGCAGAAGAGGAAAGUGGAAUUCCAUGUGUAGCGGUGAAAUGCGCAGAGAUAUGGAGGAACACCAGUGGCGAAGGCGACUUUCUGGUCUGUAACUGACGCUGAUGUGCGAAAGCGUGGGGAUCAAACAGGAUUAGAUACCCUGGUAGUCCACGCCGUAAACGAUGAGUGCUAAGUGUUAGGGGGUUUCCGCCCCUUAGUGCUGCAGCUAACGCAUUAAGCACUCCGCCUGGGGAGUACGACCGCAAGGUUGAAACUCAAAGGAAUUGACGGGGGCCCGCACAAG
rnacentral:rRNA from 1 species